UUGUCCAAUCUUGCUCUGAAUUCCGUGUCCAAGAGUCUUUUAACUGGAGGUUCAUUUUUCUGGUAGUUUCCUUUAAUGGGAAUAGUGACUUGCUUCAUGGGGAACUCAGUCUUCUUUGGUGAACUUUUAUCUUGACUGCUUUGUCCCUUGCUUGAGCCUCCUCCUUCCCUAGUCACACUGUUUACCCAUUCUGCCUUGGCUAAUUUCAAGGCUAGGUUUCUGCCACUUACCAGUUGUGCCUCCUUCAUACAUUCCUCUAAGGUUUGAGGAUGUCUACUAAUAACUUCUGCUUGAAGAGCCGGUUCUAGACCAGUCACGAAUGCAUCUAAGAGCACGCUUUCAGCCAUGUGCAGUAGUGGUGCAGAAUAUUGUACGAAUUUCUUGACAUGAUCAUUAUAGGAUCCAUCUUGUUCUAUUCGAAUCAGCCUUGCACCUAAGCUCUUCUGCCCAGAAUCUCGAAAAAAUUCAAACAUCCUUACCUUCAAAUCUUCCCAUCCUUCCACCUUCUUUCUAUGGUUACUCCAACGGUACCAAUCGAUUUCAUCUUGUCCGAAACUAACCACUGCUACUUUAGUAUGCCAUCCAAAUUAACUUUCUCCAUGGAUACUCUUCACCACUUUAGCCCAAAGGGAAUUCUUUUCAUUUAUAAAUCUCCAUCCCCAUUUAGCAAGAAGGUUGCAUUUUUUUAACGUUGCACCAUCGACGCCGAUUCCACCAUCCUCUUGCGAACAAGACACCACCUUCCAAUUAAUCACUUUAUGAAUCAUCUUUUCUGGCAUUAAGAAUAUAGACAUAUAGUGUGUAGGUAUAUGUGAAAAAACCGACUUACAAAGUGUGUCCCAACCUCCACUAAAGAGACAAUAUCUUUUCCACUUAUCUAGUUUAACUUGGAUUUUAUCUAUUUCUUGAAAUUACAUAAGGAGUAGAGAGAGGGCUCCAAGCCGAAGCAGUUAUGGAAAACAUCUCCAAUUUACAGCAAGUUAAAGCAAAAACAAAAAAAAAAAAACCGCAGUUCAAAAAAACUGGGCAUCUUGCUUCCUUCUAAUUGAAAGUUCUGCUGUUUCUGUCAAGUCAAAUUGACCACAAAAUGCUCAAAUGAGAUUCUUCAAUAGGAAUACAUAAAAAAAAAAAAUAUGUAAAAGAAUUUUCAAUGUUUAAUAUAAUAUGUAAAAUAAUUUUCUUAUAUUGGAAUUGGCAGAUGGCUGAGGGCCUUCGUGAAACGUGGGAGAGAAGCGAUAACAUUAUCGUUCAAAAAAUUCAGGAGUAAGUAUUUAUGUGAAAGGCCAUAUUCUUUGGCCAUUUGACCUUAUUUAUGAUUGAAUUAUUUGGAUGGAAAUGAUAAACUACACAUUAUUGUCUGCUUGAGUUGUGAUCUUGAUUAUGGGCUAUUUGGUAUUUUGCCUACAAACUGUAUAGUUAAUUAUCUGUUAGCUUUUGUUUUCCUGUCACAGCUUUAUGUUUCUGUGGCUAAUUGUAGCCAAAAGUUUUAUUUAUCGAUCUUAUUUUUCACAGCAUAAAUGAAACCGCGUUUCAAGCAUCAAAUGCUGCUACAUCAUUCAAGGAAAUUCGUCGUAGAGGUCUUUCUCUUUACCAAAUUUCGUAGCUGAACUUUAAGAAGCAAUCAAACCGGUGUUAACUUCUUAUAUAAAGGUAGAUUCCCAAACUUUGAAGAAACGCUGCAGUACUGAGGUAAUUGAACGUUGUAAGGCAGAGCAUUGGGCUUACCGGAGCCAAGGUAUCUUCUUCGAUAACAAGUAAGGAUAGUCCUGAUACUACCUUUCUUUUGUUAUUGAAGUUUAUUGUUCCUUCUCUCUUGUUUGGUGGUUGUGCACCUAUAUUGAUUUGUACUUCUGUUAAUUAAUUAUAGUCCUUCUCUCUUGUUUGAGUAAUUAUUGUCUACCAUUUUGUUAGCAAAGGCUUCCCAUGGAAAUUUAGUUUGUUGUGCUGCAUGUCCAAGAUGAUUUUCGUGAUUUUAGUUUUAGAUACAUAAAAGGGAUUUUGCAUCACAACAUGAAUGACUAUUUCUAAAUAUGAACCUACAAUAACCCCAAAUGAAUACCGGAUUAAAUUGGAAACAGGGCAGAUAGAGAGUGAGAUGGAGAGUGUUUGUGUGUGCUUUAGAGUAGUUUUAAGCACAUUUUUUAGAUUUGUUUAACACUAAGUUUGUUUCACUUGCACAAUUGGUUGCCAUUUUAGG